GCGUCGGUGGUGCAACGGUUAACACACACUCCCAGAAAUAGUGAGAUCUGGGUGCGAACCCCUGCUGGCGCA